GGGGAAGGGUAGCUUGCUACCUGACCUAGCGGCGGACGGGUGAGUAAUGCUUAGGAAUCUGCCUAUUAGUGGGGGACAACAUUCCGAAAGGAAUGCUAAUACCGCAUACGCCCUACGGGGGAAAGCAGGGGAUCUUCGGACCUUGCGCUAAUAGAUGAGCCUAAGUCUUAUUAGCUAGUUGGUGGGGGUAAAGGCCUACCAAGGCGACGAUCUGUAGCCGGUUCUGAAAAGAUGAUCCCGCCCCACUGGGACUGAAACACGGCCCCAAACUCUUACCGGAAGGCAACAUUGGGGAAUUUUGGAACAAUGGGCCAAAACCUUAUUCCCACCCUUCCCCGUGUGGUUAAAAAAAGCCCUUUUUGGUUUUAAAGCCCUUUAACCCGGGGGGAGGGCCCCCGGAAAUUAAACCUUUUGGAAAAGGGGCCCUUUUCUCAAAAAAAACCCCCGGUUUAUUUUUGUCCCCCCACCC
rnacentral:rRNA from 1 species